UCAAUAAGCGGAGGAAAAGAAACCAACAGGGAUUGCCUCAGUAACGGCGAGUGAAGCGGCAACAGCUCAAAUUUGAAAUCUGGCUCUUUCAGGGUCCGAGUUGUAAUUUGUAGAAGAUGCUUCGGGCGUGGCUCCGGUCUAAGUUCCUUGGAACAGGACGUCAUAGAGGGUGAGAAUCCCGUAUGUGACUGGGUGCCUAUGCUCAUGUGAAGCUCUUUCGACGAGUCGAGUUGUUUGGGAAUGCAGCUCUAAAUGGGUGGUAAAUUUCAUCUAAAGCUAAAUACUGGCCAGAGACCGAUAGCGCACAAGUAGAGUGAUCGAAAGAUGAAAAGCACUUUGGAAAGAGAGUUAAACAGUACGUGAAAUUGUUGAAAGGGAAGCGCUUGCAACCAGACUUGCAUGCAGCUGAUCAUCCGGUGUUCUCACCGGUGCACUCAGCUGUGUUCAGGCCAGCAUCGGUUUCGGUGGUUGGAUAAAGGCCUUGGGAAUGUAGCUUCCUUCGGGGAGUGUUAUAGCCCGCGGUGCAAUGCAGCCUACUGGGACCGAGGACCGCGCUUCGGCUAGGAUGCUGGCGUAAUGGUUGUAAGCGACCCGUCUUGAAACACGGACCAAGGAGUCUAACAUCUAUGCGAGUGUUUGGGUGUCAAACCCAUACGCGUAAUGAAAGUGAACGGAGGUGAGAACUCUUAAGAGUGCAUCAUCGACCGAUCCUGAUGUCUUCGGAUGGAUUUGAGUAAGAGCAUAGCUGUUGGGACCCGAAAGAUGGUGAACUAUACUUGAAUAGGGUGAAGCCAGAGGAAACUCUGGUGGAGGCUCGCAGCGGUUCUGACGUGCAAAUCGAUCGUCAAAUUUGGGUAUAGGGGCGAAAGACUAAUCGAACCAUCUAGUAGCUGGUUCCUGCCGAAGUUUCCCUCAGGAA
rnacentral:rRNA from 1 species